rnacentral:rRNA from 1 species
AUUGAACGCUGGCGGCAGGCCUAACACAUGCAAGUCGAGCGAGCGGCGGACGGGUGAGUAAUGUAUGGGGACUGCCCGAUAGAGGGGGAUAACAACCGGCAACGGUAGCUAAUACCGCGUAUUAUCUGAUAACCCCGAUGGGAUUAGCUAGUAGGUGGGGGAAUGGCUCACAUAGGCGACGAUCCCUAGCUGGUCUGAGAGGAUGAUCAGCCACACUGGGACUGAGACACGGCCCAGACUCCUACGGAGGCAGCAGUGGGGAAUAUUGCACAAUGGGCGCAAGCCUGAUGCAGCCAUGCCGCGUGUAUGAAGAAGGCCGUCGGGUUGUAAAGUACUUUCAGUCGGGAGGCGUUACCGACAGAAGAAGCACCGGCUAACUCCGUGCCAGCAGCCGCGGUAAUAC